rnacentral:rRNA from 1 species
AUACGUAGGUCCCGAACGUUGCGCGAAAUUACUGGGCGUAAAGGGUCCGUAGGCGGUCUGGUAAGUGGAAGGUGAAAGCCUGGGGCUCAACUCCAGAAUUGCCUUCCAAACUGCCGGACUUGAGGCAGGGAGAGGUCGGCGGAAUUCCCGGUGUAGCGGUGAAAUGCGUAGAUAUCGGGAGGAAAACCAGUGGCGAAGGCGGCCGACUGGAACUGUCCAGACGCUGAGGGACGAAAGCCAGGGGAGCGAACCGGAUUAGAAACCCUAGUAGUCC